GUGACCCUUUCGUGGGGACUGCAGAGGCCACAGAGGAGAAACAAAGUCUCCUCACAACUGGGAAGACGGACCGUACCAUCCCAGGGGGCCGGAGUAGGGAAGAGGGCGUUGGAAACUGACAUCCUCGCUCUCAAGGAGCCGGCGAGGACACGGGAUUUCCCGGCUGAAAAGCCCCAGUGUCUGCCUGUCCCGGCCCAGCCUCUCCCCUGCCGGGGAGGCCUGGGUACCGCAACCCGGGGGCGCCCUGCAUCACCACUCUGUGAGCGGGCGGGGCCCUGCUCCCCAGCCUGGGGAUGGAUGGCGUGCCCUAGCCAGCCCAUCUGCGGCCACGGCUGGUCCGGGAGGAAGCCGUCCCCGGGGAUGAAUGGGGCUUUGUUCGCUGCCAGCCGCGCUCCCCUCGCGGCCCGGCCAGGCACAACGGAGGCAGUAUGCGACAGGCAUGGAAAUGAGCCGCGGGCUCUCCCCUCGCAGCGCCCAGGAAUGCUGGCCAGCCGGAAAGGAGCCCUCGCCGGGGACCCGCUCCCGCGCCUCUGAAACCCCAUUGAGAAGGGCUCUUUGAAGCAAUUAAAGCGUGUUUCACGGCGGCCUGGGAGGGGGCCCGGGUCGGCCAGCUUCUCUUUUACCCUCCUUCUCUGUCCUACCGUGUUUGUGCACCUUGGUGUGGCGGGUUACCUAGAGACCGGGCCAGAACCAGCUCCCUCUCAUGCAGAGAUUCUGUAACCUCACAAAAGCGUCCCCAUAAACAGAUUGUUUGUCACCAGGGGGUGGGGGUGUGUGUGGCGGGGUGGAACCCAGUUUGGACCUGAUCCAAGCUGACCUGCAGAGCCAGGGUUCCUGCUUUCAAAGGCCUCUUUGCUGGGCUCUCCACCCACCUGCCCUUGCUGUCAGGUUUGGGCGGGACAAGAAAUCGCCUCUGGGCAAGGAAGUCCUGAGGCUGCGGCUCAGCAUUUUCCAUUUUCUCAGCGGCGGGGUGGGCUGUGUUCAGGUCUAGAAGUGAUGUCACAGCCAGCCCUGUGAGUGAUGUAACCUGCACAUGUUGAAGGACUAGAACCGGGCGGCUAUUUUGAGACUCUUGAGUUCCUUCCUUCCUCCCUGGAGACAAGUGGGUGACUGUGGAGAACUCACAAAGCUGCCCUGGGUACAGCGGUUUUUGUCUGUUCCAGUGAAAAAUCCUAAGGCCGGAGAACUGACGCCAUAAAAGCGGGCGUGCUUGUGAAAUUCUUUCUAAAUUGGAGGUGGGCACAUGUGGCAAGUGUGUGGAUUGGAGCCCCAGUAACAUCCAUGUGAAAAGGUUUCACUGAGUUCUCUGUUUGGUUGACUUUAUACCCUUUUCCCUUGAGACUGAUUGUUAAAGUGUGCCUCUUCUCCAGCAGGUACUUCCUGGAGAACAUGAUCCCUUUGUUGUCUCUUUGUUGUAUGUUUUUGAGACAGGGUCUUGAAUUCCCUCUGUAGUCAAAGAUGAUGUUGUGUUCCAGAUCCGACUGCCUCUACCUCUCAAGUGCUGGACUUACGGGCAUGUGCUGCCUUGACUGUCACGAUCCAGUAGUUUGUUGUUGUUUUGGCAGGGGGAGUUGGGGUAAGGUUCUGUGUUGGGAGCAGAUCCUUAACAAUGCCUGUCAGCACUUAGCAAAUACAGUCGAUGACUCCACAAAUGCAGCCAGAACCCCUGGUUUUGUUUUUGUUUUUGUUUUUGUUUGUUUGACCCUUAUAACUCCAAACAAGAAAUAGGAAACACAAGGUGGACCUUUAGUCCCGAGGAUCCUGGGUUAGGGAGAUGUUGAGAAGUUUGAAGGGGAGGUUAGGAAAUAUUUUUGAGAGCACAGACAUGCCUCAAGUGUUUCCUGAAAUGCCCCAGAUGACAGUGGAGCACUCAGGUGGAGGAGUCAUUCUUUCCAACUUCGAGGAUGGUUAGUUCUGGCUAAUGUGAAUCAUGUUUUACGUCAGUAAGGAGUGUGCCCAGCCCAUCAUUCGUUCUUUAAGCAUGCCAUGGAAACAGGAUGGUCAGAGUAGUGGCUGUGCAUGGGAAGCAUCAUUGCGUCUUAUAUGCUUCUCCAGUGUGUCUCCAUGGUGAUUGUUACUUUGGGCUUGGCUUGUACUUCUAUUUGGUUACUUUUUUCGAUGAGGCUUGGAAUGUGUGGAGUUUUUUCUACACACACACACACACACACACACACACACACACACACACACACACACACAAUCUGGGCAUCUACCAUGAUGCCAUCAAUGAUGGCAUGGGAAGCAAAUGCAGGCUCUUCUCCUAUUCUCUCUGUCUCUGUCACACACACACACACACACACACACAUACACACACACACACACACACACACACAUCAAGCAAUGGGUAUCAGAAAGUCCACUUUGAAAAUGGUGCCCUGGUGUUUCCUUAUUCCCCAGGGUAUAGUCUGCCCACCAGCACACUGCUGUGCAUAAUAACUUCCUCUCUCAUCCUGGGGUUUCAUUUGACUGUCAUCUGGUCGCCAUUUUGCCUUCAUAUGGACAGCAUGCCUGACAGCUGAGAUUCUUUCCCCACUGUUUCAUUCUGUUUAACCAUGUAGACACAAACAGCACAGCGUAAAGCCCCGCAGAUGAGACGGCUCUGGGCUAGAAUGCAGGCCACACACUAGCAUGAGAACAGUGCCCCUCGCACAGCAGACCUGACUAGAAGCUCCAAGUGGACUAGGGAUCACUCCUGCAAUCAAAAUCUACAGGAAACAGUAGUUGAUGACGACAGGACAUAUGAUCCAGGGUCCUGAAUAAGUGAAGCUAAGCAUUGGAUCUAGUUGCCGACAAGACACUUGUCUUUGCAACCUCUUCCCAUGCCUCUAUCCCAUCCCAGGUUUCCAUCUUCAAGAAAAGAGUUAACCAGGGACCCAAUGACUAGAACUAAUAUAUAACCUUUGAUUAAAAAUGAAUGGUGAGGGGGUAGAAAAGAGGUGGGGGGAGGGAAUGGGAUAAGAGGAGUGAGAGUAAACUGUGGUUGCUUUGUAAAAUAAAUAAAAAAUUUAAUAAUUUAAUAAUAAAAGACUGAUAAACCUUUA